GCCGGCGCCUCAGUCGAACGGCGUCCGUGGUCGGGUUCGCGUCUGUUUCUUUUCCCUUUGUAUUUUCGAGCGUCGCCAUCCUCGUCGGCCAUCCUCGUCGCCGCCAUCCCUCGUCGAUUCCUCGUCGUGCUCACAUUUUACCAAACACAGGAGUGCUUGCUCAUUCUCUUUGUUUACGGCGCCAUUACACGUACUUGUCAUAACUCUGUGCUAAUCGAUCGAGCGUGGAUGAACCGUUGGACCGUUGGACCGUUGCCGAGUUUAUCACCUUCUUCCUUGGUACUUUCUGAUAGAAUGCAUCGAAAGGAAAGGCAAGAUCGAGCUGGCAGAACGAGGCGAUGAGAGCUCUGAAUGGAGUCCGAGGAAGCUUCGGAGCCCCCUGGGGCUCGAACGUCGUCGUACGUGCCAACGUCGUCAGGGUUCGACCUGAUCCGCCGAUUUUCAAAGCAAACGUGAGCCAAAGAAGAUAGAAGAGAGGAAGGUGCAUAUAAAUAUAUAUACAUAUAUAUCGCAGUGUUCGAUUUGGAAAGAAAAUAAACGGACGGAUAAGCCUAUUAUACGUAUAGAAAUACUUAAGAUAGAUAGACAAAUUGACGCAUGAUAAAACGGCCUUAGAAAGUGUUUUCCUUUCGCUGACAACGACGCUGAAGGAAUAAGGGGACGCGGUAAGAAUCGAAUUAAUAUGACGUCGGAUCUAAUUUCGUUGAUCGGUGAAUGCGCAGCUACCGCGUGGGAGAGAGAAAGUCAUAGAAAAGAAAGACAACGCGCCUCCUCACACGAGAAAAAUAGCAGGUUCGUAGUGGAGCCAACGUAGAAAAAGAGUCUUGGGAAGAUUGAAAAUCGCGUAAACAACGUAAGCGAUCAAAAGGAAGAAGGAAAAAUGGCGGCGCCGGUGAUAGAGAAAAAGCGAUUCUUUUGUCGCGAGUGGGCGUUCAUGAAGCUAGCCCAUUGUUUGGAACAACGGCCCACAUCGAAAACCUGUGGCACGUUGGUUCUUGGCGGUCCAGGAAGCGGAAAAACAGCUUUCUGUGCCGAGCUCGCGUGGCCCUCGAACGGUUCCAACGCGAGACAUCAAAGGGCUUUGAAUCGUCGUCUUUUGGCAAGGCAUUUUUGUCAAGCCAGAAGCGAAGCGUCCCUUUCGCCGGCCCAAUUCGUUAGAUCUUUGGUGGCACAAUUACUUCAAGCCAGUUCCGAUGGUAUUCGUCGCACCGCUCCGGAUUCUCCGACGACGACGGUGAACGCGGCGGCUAAUUCUACAACAGCAACAACAACGACCGGGACUACGACUACCACUACGACGACGACGACGACGACGACAACCACCACGACGACAACUACGACGAACAAUCCAACGACAAACAACCCAACAACAACUAUAACCUUAACCUCGAGAGAGGCUGUAGCUGAGGCCUAUGCCGAAAAAUUGAGAACGGAUCCAGAGAUUCAAGGUGCUUUGGAACCCGACGUCCUUGAUCGUGAUCCGGACGACGCGUUGAAAAAGGCGUUGCUCUUUCCUCUUCUAGAGGUAGAACCUCCCAAAAGUUGCCUCUUCGUCAUGGUGGACUCCAUUGACGAGGGCCAAAUGCUGAAUCCUCCUCAAACUGGUACCAGAGAUUCUAGAAGAGAAAACGAUAACGUCAGUCGUACCAUCGCCGAACUACUUGCCAAUCAUCAUCACCUCUUUCCGCAAUGGUUGCUUCUAGUAUGUACAGCGCGACGUCAUAGCAAGACCAUCUCGCGUAUGUUUGCCGGAUUUCGUAAGAUAUGUUUGGACGAUUUGAAAAAGUCUCAAGUGGUCAGGGACGUCCAGCAGUAUAUACUCGAACGUUUGGAUCAAGAGGAUACUCUCAGGUGGGUGGGUGCCGCCUUUGGCAGGCAACACAUCUCUCGCGAUACAGCGGAGAUGUUGAAUCAGCUACACAUCAAAAGUAACGGCUGCUUUUUGUACCUGGAAAAAGUGUUGGACGGUGUAGCCGAGAACUUUAUCGUUCUUCGAGAAGUUAGAGAAAUACCGGGAACAUUAAACGGUCUUUAUCUCUGGUUGUGUCAAAGGCUCUUUAGUAGAAAACAGUUCGCCAAAGUGCAACCCCUGUUGAACGUCAUUCUUGCCGCUAAAUUGCCCAUCACGCAAGAGAUACUUUUCAAAUGUGUAAGAACAGCGUGCGUUAACAUCACCGUCGAAGACUUCAAUCGUCGUUUGCAUCUCUUGCGAAGGGUCAUAUCGGUAUCUAGAGCCGGUGCAUUAAUGCUCUUUCAUCACAGUUUCGCCGAAUGGCUGCUAGACGUGAAACAUUGUACCCAAAAGUAUCUUUGCUCGGCCGUCGAAGGACACGCCAUGCUGGCGGCCUACUAUUCUCUUCGUGGACCCGAACUUAACCCGGAUGAGAUUUGCGUGUUGGGACAGCAUCUACAGCGAGCGAUAACGAACGUGUCGACGAGCAAUUGUACCCUAGACGUUCACACCCUUCAAGUGCUUUGGAUGAUAGGUACCGCUGCACCAAUCGAAGAAUGUUACUUGGAUAGUUCUGAAUGCAUAUUAUGGCCACGACAAGAAGUUAAACUUUUGAGGCUUCUUAUAGACGCGGGCGCUAAAUUAUCGGAAAAGAGCGUCGAGGACGAUGCCAGUAAGGACGCCGUUUCUUCUAGUCAGGUCUCGCAGGACGCGAGCCCCAUGGACGAAUCCCCGAGUGAACCAUUAACCGAGUUACUCGGUGAGAGCGGUGACAUCAAUCAAACGGACUCUUGCGGUAGAACUGUAUUGCACACGCUUGCUGCAGAUGGCAACGCGUCCUUGUUAGAACUCGCUCUUGCAGCUUGUCCGCAUGCAAAAUUGGAAGGCACGGAUCGUCACGGACAUACGCCAUUGAAUUUAGCUGCCAGACACGGUUAUGCGGACGUUGUACGAGUUCUUUUAGCUGCAGGCGCAAACUCGGACCAUGCGGAUUGUGACGGUUGGACUGCAUUGAGAGCCGCCGCAUGGGGUGGACACACUCAGGUGGUAGAACAGCUUUUGGAGUAUGGUGCGAUGGUCGAUUGCGCCGACUGGGAUCAAAGGACAGCACUAAGAGCUGCAGCCUGGGGCGGCCACGAAGAUAUCGUGAAAGCUUUGCUACAGCAUGGUGCCGAUGUCAAUAGAACCGACGACGAAGGUAGAACCGCCUUGAUCGCUGCAGCUUACAUGGGUCAUAGCGAGAUAGUGGAACAUCUUCUUGACUUUGGGGCAAAAAUCGAUCACGCGGACAGCGAUGGUAGAACGGCAUUGAGCGUUGCAGCCUUAUGUGUUCCAUCUAACCACAAUUAUGCCAAGGUCGUUACGAUACUUUUAGAAAGAGGAGCCGCGGUAGAUCAUCAAGACAAGGAUGGCAUGACACCGCUAUUGGUGGCUGCCUUCGAAGGUCAUAGAGACGUGUGCGAAUUGCUCUUGGAAUACGAAGCAGACGUGGAUCAUUGCGAUGCGACGGGAAGAACGCCUCUUUGGGCUGCAGCCAGCAUGGGUCACGGAUCUGUCGUUGCUCUCUUAUUAUUCUGGGGCUGUUACGUAGAUAGUAUAGACAACGAAGGUAGAACUGUACUGAGCGUUGCUGCCGCGCAAGGCGAUACGGAUGUUGUCAAACAAUUACUCGACAGAGGCCUUGACGAACAACACAGAGACAAUUCUGGAUGGACACCGUUGCAUUAUGCAGCCUUCGAAGGCCACAUAGACGUUUGCGAAGCAUUACUCGAGGCUGGAGCAAAGAUCGAUGAAACCGAUAACGAUGGAAAAGGUGCUCUAAUGCUUGCCGCGCAAGAAGGACACGCUUCCUUGGUAGAAAGACUCUUGGUGCAGCAUGGUGCACCUAUCGAUCAACACGCUCACGAUGGAAAAACUGCAUUAAGGCUCGCGGCUUUAGAGGGGCAUUACGACACCGUUAGAAUACUGUUAGGCUACAAAGCGGAUGUAAACGCUAAAGAUGCUGAUGGCAGGAGUACUUUGUACAUUCUUGCCUUGGAAAAUAGAUUAGCGAUGGCACGAUUUCUGUUAGAACAUGCACCCGCUGAUGUCGAAGGUAGAGAUUCCGAAGGCAGAACUCCUUUGCAUGUAAGCGCUUGGCAAGGACACGUAGAGAUGGUUGCAUUAUUGUUAACGAAAGGAAAUGCAAGCGUAAACGCGUGUGACAAUGAAAAUAGAACGCCUCUUCACUCUGCAGCGUGGCAGGGACAUGCAGCGAUCGUCAGACUACUAUUGGAACACGGGGCAACACCCGAUCAUACUUGCAAUCAAGGUGCAACGGCUUUAGGUAUUGCCGCACAAGAAGGACACGAACAUUGCGUUCGAGCUCUUUUGAAUCAUGGUGCUGACCCAAGUCAUUCGGACCACUGUGGUAGAAAUGCGAUCAAAGUUGCAGCUAAAAGCGGUCAUGACACGGUAGUAAGAUUACUCGAAGAACACGCUGCAAACCAACGAAGCUUAAAACCAACGAUCAAUGGAGGUGGUGGUGGUAGCAGCAGUGCUACUUCUAUAACGUCUAAUUCGACCGCCGAAACGAAACCUUCCUCGGCAAUAUUAAAUCCUCUCUCAACGCAAUAUAGUCCCGCGGAAUCACCAGAUUCUACCAAAAGAAGAAGUUGCGUUUCUUUGGGAAAUAAUUCGAGCAACAGCAAAUCGAGCAGCAAUUUGACUGGAAGCACUAAAAGCGAUCAAGGAAAAUUCAAUCAAAACUCUAUGGCUAAUCAAGUGAUUAAGACGCCACUAUCUUUCACCCAGCAACUUCAGCAAUGUUCAAGAGGAGCAAAGAGUCGACCACUGAGCAAAUUAUUGUCACCCUUAAAAAGUGAACCACAAAGUCCAAUUUACGCGUCACCACCUCAUUCACCCUUAAGCGACAGCCUUAUACCUUACUCCCCCACAAACACGAGUCCACCUAGUGCACAAAUAGCGGCUAACGUAAUACAGAGUCAACUCGGUGUAUCGUUAUUAACAGGAAAUCAAAAUCUACCGUACAAAUCUCAAAUUGGUGCAUAUAAUCAUCAUACGCCUGCAAUUUAUGAACCAAUCAAUAUAAAAACAGAAAUUAUCGAUAAAAAUGAUAUAACUAAACCGUUCGAAUUAACGAACGAAAUGUUAGGUUUAAAUAUCAGCGGAAAGGAUAAGAAAAAUAGUAUCGAGGAGAAAAGAACUUGUGCUGAUACGCACUUUACUCGUGAUACUCACAUGAGAAUUAUACUCGGAAACAGUGGAGCCGGCGUUGGUAGAAACGUUAAACAUACGACUGAACAUACACCUGGAAGUAUAAGUAAUAUAAAGCCAAAGCGCAACGGUUUAGUUUCCAAUCCAGCCAUGAGAUUAGUAGCAGGCGUUAGAAAUGGAAUUGAAAAUGCAACGAAUAGAAAUAAACCAAUCACUACGCGUGUAAAUGGAUUUCAAUGGAAGGCAGAAGCUCGUAAAGAAACUCCUUUGUAGGGAAAGGUUGCACACAAAACUACACCUCAGAGGAACUCUACAAAUCGUUACUAUGGGUGGCGCAUUCUUAUUACCAAGAAGAAAAAGUCAAUACAUAAAUUUUUCUCCUUUUAUUUGAGCAAAAUCAAAUUACCUCAAAUAAAAAAGUGAAGGAAAGUCGAGAAAUGUUUAAUUUAAUGCAAAGCGUAUAAAACGUUGCAUAGUACACAAAACCAAAUAUAAAACUGCAUAGUGAAGUAUGUAGUCCUAGAAUCAUAAUUUUAAAGGAUGGUUAGAUAUUGAGAUUUUCUUCAGAAGACUGGAUGCGAAUAAAACGCAUAUGUGAUGUUUUAAUGGAUAAAAUAUAAAAACAAUGCAGAAUUGUAAAGAUAUGUAUAAAUAAUAUUUGAAAUAUAGAAAAGGAUGAUAUGUUACACAAUUAAAAAAAUACGUAAAAUAUGGCCUGGAAAUUAAAAGUAUGUGUAAAUACAACACAUCCUUUAUGUAUUGUGCACGAUCAUAUUUAUUGUAUUUAUACUGUAUUAGGUGCGCAAAAUAAAUAAAAAAUAAACUUCUAA
rnacentral:misc_RNA from 1 species